rnacentral:rRNA from 1 species
GGUAUGAAUGGCUAAACGAGAAAUAGACUUUUUUUACUAUAAAAAUUGAACUUAAUUUUUCAGUGAAAAAGCUGAAAUUGUUUAGAAAGACGAGAAGACCCUAUAGAGUUUUAUAUUUAGAACUUAUUACUUAUAAUUGAUUUUUUUUAAGUUAUAAUUUUUAUAUAUUUUGUUGGGGCGACAUUAAGAUAAAAAAAACUCUUUAUUUUUUAGAUUUUUAUAAAAAUUAUUCUGAUCCUCUAUAAGAGAUCAAAAGAAAAAAUUACCUUAGGGAUAACAGCGUAAUCUUUUUUGAGAGUUCUAAUCGACAAAAAGGUUUGCGACCU